AUUGAACGCUGGCGGCAGGCUUAACACAUGCAAGUCGAGCGGGGGGAGGUAGCUUGCUACCGGACCUAGCGGCGGACGGGUGAGUAAUGCUUAGGAAUCUGCCUAUUAGUGGGGGACAACAUCUCGAAAGGGAUGCUAAUACCGCAUACGUCCUACGGGAGAAAGCAGGGGAUCUUCGGACCUUGCGCUAAUAGAUGAGCCUAAGUCGGAUUAACUAGUUGGUGGGGUAACGGCCUACCAAGGCGACGAUCUGUAGCAGGUCUGAGAGGAUGAUCCGCCACACGUGUACUGAGACACGGGCCAGGCUCCGACGGGAGGCAGCAGUUGUGAAUAUUGGACAAUGAGGGGACCCCUGAUCCAGCCAUGCCGCGUGUGUGAAUAAGGCCUUAUGUUUGUAAAGCACUUUAAGCGAGGAGGAGGCUACUCUAGUUAAUACCUAGGGAUAGUGGACGUUACUCGCAGAAUAAGCACCGGCUAACUCUGUUCCAGCCGCCGCUGUAA
rnacentral:rRNA from 1 species